GUGUAUGAAAGGAGAGAAGGUUAGCACUCCCCUUGAGAGGAUGGAAGAGGUCCCACAGGCCUUCAUAUGGUUAAGGCAUUGCAUCUCACCAAGUUUUCCA
rnacentral:ncRNA from 1 species